rnacentral:rRNA from 1 species
GUGGGGAAUUUUGGACAAUGGGCGCAAGCCUGAUCCAGCAAUGCCGCGUGCAGGAAGAAGGCCUUCGGGUUGUAAACUGCUUUUGUACGGAACGAAACGGUCCUGGUUAAUACCUGGGGCUAAUGACGGUACCGUAAGAAUAAGCACCGGCUAACUACGUGCCAGCAGCCGCGGUAAUACGUAGGGUGCGAGCGUUAAUCGGAAUUACUGGGCGUAAAGCGUGCGCAGGCGGUGCUGUAAGACAGGCGUGAAAUCCCCGGGCUCAACCUGGGAAUUGCGCUUGUGACUGCAGUGCUGGAGUACGGCAGAGGGGGAUGGAAUUCCGUGUGUAGCAGUGAAAUGCGUAGAUAUGCGGAGGAACACCGAUGGCGAAGGCAGUCCCCUGGGCCUGUACUGACGCUCAUGCACGAAAGCGUGGGGAGCAAACAGGAUUAGAAACCCGGGUAGUCC